GUAUAAUCUGAAAAUAUCAUGAAAUUCUACACAUGAAAAAGAGAGAGUCAACAUUAAAGCUAUACAAUCGCAUAGCUCUUAACAAGGGAUUCUGUCGCAUAACUAUUUACCGAGAGCAAACUGGCGGAUUUUGGUUCUUUUAUGCGAUCGCAUAGAAAAUAGCUACUCGACCUCAUAGUUCAACCCGGAAAGUGAAUUUUUCAAUUUUUACGAAAUCUUUUAUUUUAGUAACUUUUGUAUUCUUUAGACUUUAAUUCUGUAUAGACUAGGGAUUUACGGGUUUCCUAUAUAUGACUCAUUAUUCUAAAUUGUAAAUAACAUUCAUUCAUAUCAAUCGAGAGAUUACUUUUCUGAGCAUAUUUUGCUUUCAAUUCUUUGUUCUUCAUUGAAUAAAUUUCUAACUUAUAAAGAAUUAUAUUCUUGUGGUGUUCAACAAUCC
rnacentral:lncRNA from 1 species